rnacentral:rRNA from 1 species
UACGGGGGGAGCAAGCGUUGUUCGGAUUUAUUGGGCGUAAAGGGCUCGUAGGCGGCUAAUUAAGUCGGACGUGAAAUCCCCAGGCUCAACCUGGGAACUGCGUCCGAUACUGAAUGGCUUGAAUCCGGGAGAGGGAUGCAGAAUUCCAGGUGUAGCGGUGAAAUGCGUAGAUAUCUGGAGGAAUACCGGUGGCGAAGGCGGCAUCCUGGACCGGCAUUGACGCUGAGGAGCGAAAGCCAGGGGAGCAAACGGG